rnacentral:rRNA from 1 species
GGGGAAUAUUGGACAAUGGGCGAAAGCCUGAUCCAGCAAUGCCGCGUGAGUGAUGAAGGCCUUAGGGUUGUAAAGCUCUUUUACCAGGGAUGAUAAUGACAGUACCUGGAGAAUAAGCUCCGGCUAACUCCGUGCCAGCAGCCGCGGUAAUACGGAGGGAGCUAGCGUUGUUCGGAAUUACUGGGCGUAAAGCGCACGUAGGCGGCUAUUCAAGUCGGGGGUGAAAGCCCGGGGCUCAACCCCGGAACUGCCCUCGAAACUAGGUAGCUAGAAUCUUGGAGAGGUCAGUGGAAUUCCGAGUGUAGAGGUGAAAUUCGUAGAUAUUCGGAAGAACACCAGUGGCGAAGGCGACUGACUGGACAAGUAUUGACGCUGAGGUGCGAAAGCGUGGGGAGCAAAC